rnacentral:rRNA from 1 species
AUUGAACGCUGGCGGCAGGCCUAACACAUGCAAGUCGAACGGUAACAGGGAUCAGCUUGCUGAUUCGCUGACGAGUGGCGGACGGGUGAGUAAUGUCUGGGAAACUGCCUGAUGGAGGGGGAUAACUACUGGAAACGGUAGCUAAUACCGCAUAACGUCGCAAGACCAAAGAGGGGGACCUUCGGGCCUCUUGCCAUCGGAUGUGCCCAGAUGGGAUUAGCUAGUAGGUGGGGUAACGGCUCACCUAGGCGACGAUCCCUAGCUGGUCUGAGAGGAUGACCAGCCACACUGGAACUGAGACACGGUCCAGACUCCUACGGGAGGCAGCAGUGGGGAAUAUUGUACAAUGGGCGCAAGCCUGAUGCAGCCAUGCCGCGUGUAUGAAGAAGGCCUUCGGGUUGUAAAGUACUUUCAGCGGGGAGGAAGGGAGUAAAGUUAAUACCUUUGCUCAUUGACGUUACCCGAAGAAGAAGCACCGGCUAACUCCGUG